AUCGCUUCUUGGCCUUUUGGCUAAGAUCAAGUGUAGUAUCAAAUCGUGUCUCUGCUAGCCACGUGACCUAUC
rnacentral:snRNA from 1 species